UGAGGAAUAUUGGGCAAUGCCCGCAAGGGUGACCCAGCAACGCCGCGUGGAGGAUGAAGGUCGUAAGAUUGUAAACUCCUGUUAGAGGGGAAGAACAGCACCGAUUGGAUCGGUGUUUGACUGUACCCUCAGAGAAAGCCCCGGCUAACUACGUGCCAGCAGCCGCGGUAAUACGUAGGGGGAAAGCGUUGUCCGGAUUUACUGGGUGUAAAGGGCGCGCAGGCGGGAUAGCAAGUCAGAGGGUCAAUCCUACAGCUUAACUGUAGAACUGCCUUUGAUACUGUUAUUCUUGAGUUCGGGAGAGAGAGACGGAAUUCCAGGUGUAGUGGUGAAAUACGUAGAUAUCUGGAAGAACACCAGUUGCGAAGGCGGUCUCUUGGUCCGAUACUGACGCUGAGGCGCGAAAGCGUGGGGAGCAAACA
rnacentral:rRNA from 1 species